rnacentral:misc_RNA from 1 species
AAGAAAACUUGGUCAGACCAGGACAUGUCUGUUUUCUGUUCUACUUAUAUGAACUAAAUCUAAAUAAACUAAAUCCAAAAUGAAAAAAGAAUGUUUCAUCUCCUGGAAAAUCAGCCAAUAAAAUUGAUCUUGUCAAACUAUGUUCGUGCGUAUCUUCUUUGUCGUUGUAUUUCAGCUUCAUUCAUCCGUUCAGAAAGCCAUUGUAGGCCUUUAUAACCCAAAUAUACUGAAGCAAUUAGAGCUAUUAUAGUGAUAACAAAUAGAAGAAAUCUCCUGAUGCCAGCUACAAUGCUCUGCAGUGUCGAAGUUUUCUCGUCUUCGAGUACCCGUACUCGUCUCCGUCUUCGCUUCGUCGCAUUAUCUUUUGUUUCUGGCUCCUUUUCCUCCGGAGCUUUUGAUUUACGAUGUUGCAACUCUGCCUCAGAAGCUUUCAUUUUGCUCCUGCAAUCUGAAUUGCAAGGGAGGAGGCCAAGUCCAUAUUGGUUUCUUGAUACAUCUUUAGGAUCAGUACCACUACUUCGAUAGGCUGCUUGGACAUCCUUACAUAGCAACUCUUUUUUGAAACUUUGGCAUCCACAACGAACAUUAACCUUCUUGGAGCAUUGAUCAGGAGAUGGACAUUCACCAGGAUGACAUGUUUCAGGGCAGAGGUGCGUACAAUUAGGUAAUUUUCUAUGGCAUGGUCCACCACAUGACCGAACAGUUAGCUGCUCUUUUGCUGACAAGCUGUUAUAGUAUAUGCACUCAAAUACAUGAACCAUGGAACCGCAGUGACAUGAACGUUUUAUCAGUGCUUUGCAAGGGGGACAU